rnacentral:tRNA from 1 species
GCUCCUGUGGCUCAGUGAGUAGAGCGCCGGACCCAUAAGCCGGAGGUGGCGGGUUCAAACCCAGCCCUGGCCCA